rnacentral:lncRNA from 1 species
CGACGUUGGAGCAGUUUUGGCCGUCAGUUUUGCGACUGGCGGAGGUUUUGCAGCCGGUGUCUCCUAGCGGUGUUGUAGCUAGCUGAGGACUUGAUGCUCAGCAGAGAGUUGGACCGAGGAGCUUGGGGUCAGCGGUGUACAGUCCGGCGGUGCGGAGCACGAUCAGAUUAGUGGUGCAGCGGAACCUAGUCAACGGCGGAGGUUGACCAGACGAACGGAGCCUUGGCUAGCGGAGGAUGUACGGCGGAGCCGCUGAGUGGCAGUUGCUACGGCUGGUGUGCUGGGUUGGGCGGAACUAGCGGUUGGCGGUGCCCCUCGUUGUGGAGCGC